UCAGCAUUCAUGAAAAGGUCAAGGCAUCCUACGAAAUAAACCUUGAGUGAGAUCUAUAGGCAGUCUGG
rfam:Tursiops truncatus cont1.335284, whole genome shotgun sequence.